UUAAAUCAAUGGAAAAAGGACAAAUGUAAAUGUUUUCCAAUUGAUUGAACUGGGUUCAGCUUUGAGAUACUUUUAAGGAACAUUGUUGUUCUACUUUUAGUACCUUUUAAAAUAAUGGUGAUGUUUUAUAUGUAUAUUAUUCAGUUGAAUGUAG